rnacentral:rRNA from 1 species
GACAGAGGGGGCAAGCGUUGCUCGGAAUUACUGGGCGUAAAGGGCGCGUAGGCGGGAUGGUAAGUCGGUCGUGAAAUCCCUCGGCUCAACCGAGGAACGUCGAUCGAUACUACCGUUCUUGAGGAUUGCAGAGGAGACUGGAAUUCCCGGUGUAGCGGUGAAAUGUGUAGAGGUCGGGAGGAACACCGGUGGCGAAGGCGGGUCUCUGGGCAAUUCCUGACGCUGAGGCGCGAAAGCGUGGGGAGCAAACGGG